CUACUUAAUAUUUUUGAUUUCGGAAAUCCGAAUUUUCUUCGUCAUUAUUUAAUACUUUUAAAGCGGCGUAUAACUAAAGACCGGUCUCUGAGGAUGGUCGGACCACCCACAUGAUUUCACUGACCAACCCCGUCCGUCCUUCAGGCCAAAAUAUUUUUUAAAAGAAAUUCUAUAACAUUGAUAUCGAAAUCAAGUCAGUAUGUAAGAAAUUUUAUGUACUGUAUGCUAAUAUUUGCAUUGUAAUCAUUUGCUGCGCUUCGUUAAAAAUAAUUUAAUUUUAAUUCAACCGGUAAUAUUAUUACGAUCCCGUUUUUUUUUGUUUCGGUAAUUUCGCAUUUGUUUUAGGGGAACACUAUGAGCAUAGGUAUAAUGUUUAAUAUUUGGGCGGUGUUUAUAAAAUUCUUGUGCUACGCCCUGCACGUUUUGUUAAAAACCGACCGAUCGUAUCGCAAAUUGAUAACGGUGACCUUUUCGAUCAGCCGAUUGGGCGAAAAAAAAAAAACGUCUUUCUUAUAAUACUAAUAUUACUAUUAAUAAUAAUAUGCAACGUUGCCGAUUCGGUCGUGACGGACGUGGAAGUCGUGAUUUAUGAUAUUAUUCGCGUGUUUGUUUUUGAAAAUUUCAAUUACAGCGCGGGGAUACCGACGGCAUCGUCGAGGGAAAUAUGUUUUAGGAUAGAUUAGAUAUAGACGUUUUUUUAAGAUGGCCGAAAUACGGUCGAUUGAACAAUUUCAAUCUAAAGAAGGAAGGAAAAAAGUCCAAAAGAUUAUGGGGUGUAAAGGAAUUUCCACAAUAAUAUUUAAUCGAAUAAGUUCAGCUUGCGUGAUUGUUUAUAGAAAAACCGAUAUUUGAAUUUGCCGAGUUUUUAUGAAAACUAAACUUUUACACGGGUGACGUUACAUUUUAUUUCUUCUUCUAUAUGAGUAAUUUUUUCUACAAUUUUUACUGCGUAGCUCAAUCGUAAAAGAUCCGUUCGGUUCCCGGUAUUUGGCAUUACAUACCUACGUGUUAUUAUAGUAUUCAUUAAUAAUGACGUCUUAAUCGCCGCCUUUGACAGUAAAAAUCGUACGCGAUGUGAUAAAUCGGUCAAGUGAUAAUAAUAUUAUUAUGUAUAUUUUUAGAACGGCGACGCCCGAUAGCGACACGUUAAAAAAUAUCGGUAUCACAGAUAAUAUACAAAACCGACCGAAUACGAGAUUAUCUAAGAGGUGUGAUAAGUCGGAAGCCACAGUAUAAUAUUAUAUCGUAUUAGGGGGCGCGUUGUAUCGAUUAACCCGUAAAUAUUUGUUUAUGCUACGAUUCUGGUAAUGAUUUAUGGAUAAAAUUUGCGAUUUGUUUCAAAAACAGUUGUAGCCAGUGCUAGAAAGGCUUUAUAAUCAGAGAGUGCGGGCCAUUUAGUGGCUACACAUCAUCGGUGUCGCCGUUUUACGUUUUGUCUAUAAUGGUCUAUGGUGUAAAUUCCGGCCGGAUACUAGUAACACUGAUAAUAGUUCACUUAAUCGCCACUCCAAAAGUAUUAGACGAAGAUUUACUAGCUAUAAAUAGCGGAUCGUGCCUUGUGUACGUCUUAUAUGUAUUAUGCGACUCGAAAAUCAGACUGAAUCUGACAAGCAAAAAUGGGUAUCUAGGAAGAAAAAAAGACUAGUUAAUAAACCGUACAAAAGCGCGUUCCGUGAAACGAGCAGCUGUCCACACUAUUAAAUUGCGUAGACUCUGUGUAGUCUCUGAGACGGCCGUGAUUUUAAAUAUUUUUCAUAUCAUCACAUAAAUCGUGUUAUAAACAAAUAUUUUACGGUAUUAUCAAUACAAUUUGGCCUUUUGAUUUGGUGAUAUUGUGCAGGCUGCUAGGCUUCACAUAAAUUAUAAGAGUAGGUUAUUUAUUUAUAGAUGAGUUCAUCACACGACAUAGUUCACAGGUUGCAUAUAAUACCCGUAUAAGUUUAAUACACAUUUCUUUUAUCAUCGGUGACGCAUGCACGACUUCGCCGCCACAAUCUUAAUAUAUUUUUUGUUAUGUUUAGGUAAGGUGAAUAAUAUUUGUUUUUAGUAUUUACACGUUAUAAUAUUUUUAAUAAUUAAAAAAAAAAAAAAAAAACAACAAUGACUUUACGAUUAUCGGUAACAAACGAGAUUAUUUACACAUAUAAAAUGGUUUUUUUUUUUUUCGUUUAAACAAAUAUUCAAUGACGUUCGGUCGAUUCGAUAGGUAACACGGUGUAACACGAUUGUGAGUGAAAAUACUAUAAAAAUGUGACUUUUUUCGUUAAGUAUAAUACAAUAGUAAUUACGAUAUUAAUCGUCGAAAAAUCCCGUUAGUUAAUUUCUCAAUUAGUAUCAUCUUCGGUCCCAUUGAUUAUUAUUCUCGCGGUUUUCUUUCGCGAAAAUCCGACGUUACAUUUUCGAUUCGCCCGAAAGUAAUUGAUGAUCUAACUAUAUAUUUUUUUUUUCCACUGCACACUAUUACAAAAUAAUAAUAACAUAUAAUAUCGUACAAUUUAAAAAUAAAACAGAACAAAAAUCGACAAAAUAAUAUCGAUUAAUCUUAAGUAUAAAUUACAAUUUACUGCCGAGACCCCUUCGACCCGUUUUCAUUAAUUUUUUUUUUUUCUUAGUUGCUGUGUGCACGCAUUCUCGUUCCCAAAAACCAAAAUACUGGACCACCCAUUGACCCGAUAUUAAUACGAAUUCGUAUACCAACACACCGAUACUACUUAUGAAUUCAAAACUCCUCGUACAUUAUACACGAACGAAAAACAAUUUACUCGCGGUUAUCGCGCAGUGGUCAAACGCGGUAAACGCUAAUGUUUAAAUAAUUCGUGCAAAAAAAAAAAAAUGAAACCCCACGAGAAAGUUUUACCGGUAUUUCAGACAGGACGCCUUUGUAUGAUAUUUAACGGGAGGGCGAGCAGGCGAAUUCGUCAAAUGUAGAAGUAUUUCGGUUUGAACGAUUCAACAUUAUUUUUUUUUUUAUUUACGUUUGUUGUUUUUUUAUUUUUUCCUCCACUACGUACUCAAUAUGUUAAUAUGGUAAUAAGGGAGCGAAAGAAAAACCCCCGCGGGCCCUUCACGACCGAUUAUUUUUUGAAUCGUGUACGAUUAUCGAGCAGCCGAUUGAAAUAUUAUUUCCCGAUCAGGUACCCAUUCAAUUUCAGCACGUUCGGUGGCGAGUGAACGGGGUUUUUUUUUUCUCCGUUUUUGUCUCGAAAAUUAGAAUUCUUGUACGGCGUUUGUGAUGAUAAAAUAUUAUUUUGCUCUAGCAACCGUUCGAGCGACCGUUUUGACGAGAGAAAAAUCCGAAUGCGAUCGGUUCCGUCGUCGACGGAAUUUAAUCGACUCUCGACCGACUACAUGGAUAACAAUAAUAGUUUACCGGCGCGAUCGGAUGAAUAUUUUUUACAGAUAAUGAUAAUUCGUCGGGAAAUACCGAACAAUUAUUACGAGUAUGACGCGUUUAGAAACAAUAAUAAUAUUAUCGUGCCGAUGAUCGGACGGCGCGGUAUCCGGUACGGCCCUAUUAUCAUAUAGUUACAGCCGACGAUAACGGCGCGAACUGAACCCCGUUUAAAUGCGUUAUACGGCCGGUCGUGGCCGAACAAAUCGCCGCGAAACGACUCCGCGGGGUCCGAUCGUCAGUAUUAAUGGUUACCGCGUCCGGUAACCGCCUCCGCACGAGCGUUUACAACCGCGACGGCCGAACAAAACCCGACUAUGGGCUCGUCGGCGUCGUAGCCUCGAACGGGAUAAACGACUCGCCGAGAUUUUCGAAAUGGCGAUAGAUUACCAAAACGAACGCGCGGUAUGAGUCGUCUCCCUCCCCCUCCCACCGUCGAAACGGCGCUUUUCUCGCACGAAAGUUAUCGCGGACAUUUUCGGUUUAUAGC
rnacentral:lncRNA from 1 species